UACAGAGGGUGCAAGCGUUGUUCGGAAUUAUUGGGCGUAAAGGGCGCGUAGGCGGUGCCACAAGUCACCUGUGAAAUCUCCGGGCUUAACUCGGAGCCUGCAGGCGAAACUGUGGUGCUGGAGUGUGGGAGAGGUGCGUGGAAUUCCCGGUGUAGCGGUGAAAUGCGCAGAUAUCAGGAAGAACACCCGUGGCUAAGGCGGCUCUCUAGUACGGUACUGACGCUGAGACGCGAAAGCGUGGGGAGCGAACAGG
rnacentral:rRNA from 1 species